CACGUAGGGGGCAAGCGUUGUCCGGAAUCAUUGGGCGUAAAGAGCUCGUAGGCGGCUCAGUAAGUCGGGUGUGAAACCCUCAGGCUCAACCUGGGGACGCCACCCGAUACUGCUGUGGCUAGAGUCCAGUAGGGGAGUGUGGAAUUCCCGGUGUAGCGGUGAAAUGCGCAGAUAUCAGGAGGAACACCCGUAGCGAAGGCGGCACUCUGGGCCGGAACUGACGCUGAGGAGCGAAAGCGUGGGGAGCGAACAGG
rnacentral:rRNA from 1 species